UACGGAGGAUCCGAGCGUUAUCCGGAUUUAUUGGGUUUAAAGGGUGCGUAGGCGGGAGAUUAAGUCAGCGGUGAAAGUUUGCAGCUUAACUGUAAGAUUGCCGUUGAAACUGAUUUUCUUGAGUGUAAAUAAGGUAGGCGGAAUGUGUUGUGUAGCGGUGAAAUGCAUAGAUAUCACACAGAAUAUCGAUUGCGAAGGCAGCUCACAAAGCUAAUAUUGACGCUGAUGCACGAAAGUGUGGGGAUCAAACAGGAGUAGAUACCCUGGUAGUCCACACUGUAAACGAUGAUAACGCGCUGUCGGCGAUACACAGUCGGUGGCCAAGCGAAAGCGAUAAGUUAUCCACCUGGGGAGUACGACCGCAAGGUUGAA
rnacentral:rRNA from 1 species